rnacentral:rRNA from 1 species
GACGGGGGGGGGGGGGCAAGUGUUCUUCGAAAUGACUGGGCGUAAAGGGCACGUAGGCGGUGAAUCGGGUUGAAAGUGAAAGUCGCCAAAAAGUGGCGGAAUGUUCUCAAAACCAAUUCACUUGAGUGAGAUAGAGGAGAGUGGAAUUUCAUGUGUAGGGGUGAAAUUCGUAGAUCUAUGAAGGAAUGCCAAAAGCGAAGGCAGCUCUCUGGGUCCCUACCGACGCUGGGUGCGAAAGCAUGGGGAGCAAAUAGG